AGAGUUUGAUCCUGGCUCAGAUUGAACGCUGGCGGCAGGCCUAACACAUGCAAGUCGAGCGGUAGAGAGAAGCUUGCUUCUUUUGAGAGCGGCGGACGGGUGAGUAAUGCCUAGGAAUCUGCCUGGUAGUGGGGGAUAACGUUCGGAAACGGACGCUAAUACCGCAUACGUCCUACGGGAGAAAGCAGGGGACCUUCGGGCCUUGCGCUAUCAGAUGAGCCUAGGUCGGAUUAGCUAGUUGGUGAGGUAAUGGCUCACCAAGGCUACGAUCCGUAACUGGUCUGAGAGGAUGAUCAGUCACACUGGAACUGAGACACGGUCCAGACUCCUACGGGAGGCAGCAGUGGGGAAUAUUGGACAAUGGGCGAAAGCCUGAUCCAGCCAUGCCGCGUGUGUGAAGAAGGUCUUCGGAUUGUAAAGCACUUUAAGUUGGGAGGAAGGGCAGUUACCUAAUACGUGAUUGUUUUGACGUUACCGACAGAAUAAGCACCGGCUAACUCUGUGCCAGCAGCCGCGGUAAUACAGAGGGUGCAAGCGUUAAUCGGAAUUACUGGGCGUAAAGCGCGCGUAGGUGGUUUGUUAAGUUGGAUGUGAAAUCCCCGGGCUCAACCUGGGAACUGCAUUCAAAACUGACUGACUAGAGUAUGGUAGAGGGUGGUGGAAUUUCCUGUGUAGCGGUGAAAUGCGUAGAUAUAGGAAGGAACACCAGUGGCGAAGGCGACCACUGGGACUAAUACUGACACUGAGGUGCGAAAGCGUGGGGAGCAAACAGGAUUAGAUACCCUGGUAGUCAAAGGGCGAUUUCGUUUAA
rnacentral:rRNA from 1 species